UUUGUUUAGCGAUGUAUCUGGC
rnacentral:miRNA from 1 species